rnacentral:rRNA from 1 species
UACGUAGGGUGCGAGCGUUAAUCGGAAUUACUGGGCGUAAAGCGUGCGCAGGCGGUUUUGUAAGACAGAGGUGAAAUCCCCGGGCUCAACCUGGGAACUGCCUUUGUGACUGCAAGGCUAGAGUGCGGCAGAGGGGGAUGGAAUUCCGCGUGUAGCAGUGAAAUGCGUAGAUAUGCGGAGGAACACCGAUGGCGAAGGCAAUCCCCUGGGCCUGCACUGACGCUCAUGCACGAAAGCGUGGGGAGCAAACAGG